rnacentral:misc_RNA from 1 species
UUUACUUCUAACUGGUCGGCAGCUGGAUGCUGCUGUGGAACUGGCAGCUUCUAGAGGAGAUGUGCGGCUUGCAUGUCUUCUUAGCCAAGCUGGUGGUUCGAUGGCUAAUCGUUCUGAUGUUGCUAGGCAGCUUGGUAUUUGGAGAGUGAAUGGGUUGGACUUCAAUUUUGUUGAGACGGAGAGGAUUAGGGUUCUUGAGUUGGUUGCUGGCAACAUUCAUAGAGCAUUGCAUGAUGUAGACAUUGACUGGAAAAGGUUUCUGGGGUUGUUGAUGUGGUAUCAGCUUCCACCAGAAACUGAAUUGCCUAUUGUGUUCCGCACAUAUCAGAGGCUUCUUAAUGAAGGAAAAGCUCCGUCUCCAGUUCCAGUUUAUAUUGAUGAAGGACCUAUAGAAGUCUCAAUGAAUUG